CCUACGGGUGGCAGCAGUGGGGAAUAUUGGGCAAUGGGCGCAAGCCUGACCCAGCAACGCCGCGUGAAGGAAGAAGGCUUUCGGGUUGUAAACUUCUUUUAAGAGGGAAGAGCAGAAGACGGUACCUCUUGAAUAAGCCACGUAUAACUACGUGACAGCAGCCGCGGUAAUACGUAGGUGGCAAGCGUUGUCCGGAUUUACUGGGUGUAAAGGGCGUGGAGCCGGGAAGUCAGCGGUAAAGGCCCGGGGCUAAACCCCGGCGAGCCGUUGAAACUGUCGGACUAGAGGGGGCGAGAAGUAGGCGGAAUGCGUGGUGUAGCGGUGAAAUGCAUAGAUAUUGGGCAGAACGCCGAUUGCGAAGGCAGCGUACCGGCGCCGGACUGACGUUGAGGCACGAAAGCGUGGGGAUCGAACAGGAUUAGAUACCCUGGUAGUC
rnacentral:rRNA from 1 species